GAUGAACGCUGGCGGCGUGCCUAACACAUGCAAGUCGAGCGAAGCGCUCAGGAGGAAGUUUUCGGAUGGAAUCCUGAAUGACUGAGCGGGCGCGGGUGAAGGUACGCGUGGUAACCUGCCUCAUACAGGGGGAUAACAGUUGGAAACGGCUGCUAAUACCGCAUAAGCGCACAGUACCGCAUGGUACGGUGUGGAAAACUCCGGUGGUAUGAGAUGGACCCGCGUCUGAUUAGCUAGUUGGUGGGGUAACGGCCUACCAAGGCGACGAUCAGUCGCCGACCUGAGAGGGUGACCGGCCACAUUGGGACUGAGACACGGCCCAA
rnacentral:rRNA from 1 species